GACGAACGCUGGCGGCGUGCUUAACACAUGCAAGUCGAACGGUGAACCUCUUCGGGGUGGCUCAGUGGCGAACGGGUGAUUAACACGUGGGCAACCUGCCCCCGGCUCUGGGAUAACUCCAAGAAAUUGGGGCUAAUACCGGAUGUUCACCGCUUCCCGCAUGGGUGGUGGUGGAAAGGGUUUCCGGCUGGGGAUGGGACCGCGGCCUAUCAGCUUGUUGGUGGGGUAGUGGCCUACCAAGGCGACGACGGGUAGCCGGCCUGAGAGGGUGACCGGACACACUGGGCCUGAGACAAGGCACAGACUCCUACGGGAGGCAGCAGUGGAGAAGAUUGCGCAAUGGGCGGAAGCCUGACGCAGCGACGCAGCGUGGGGGAAGACGGGCUGCGGGUUGUAAACCUCUUUCAGCAGGGACGAAGCGCAAGUGACGGUACCUGGAGAAGAAGCACCGGCCAACUACGUG
rnacentral:rRNA from 1 species